CUGGACUUAAGCAAGGUGUUGCUUGAAGGCCCCCAAUGCAAGCUCUAACUUUAAUCUAGGGAAACACAGAAGGGGCUCCCUUCCCAGGCCCACUUCUUCCUCCCUCAGCUGAGGAAGAAACAGAGGGAGUCCAAGGCCCUGAAAGUAUCAGCCCAGCAACUUCCUGUGUGGCUUGGUAGGCGGGAGGCACGAAAAGAGAAGGCCCUCCUGUCUACAAGCUGAUAUACACAGUAGCGGAAAAGGGUUGGAUGGAGAGAGCCAAAUUCCUAUGUGCCAAAGGCUGGACCAGCACAGGGAAAUUGCCUAGUCAACCAGAAGGCCAGACAGAUCCGCUUACACCCAUUCACCCUGAGGUGUGCCAUGGCCUUGAGGGCCCACGGUGACUGUUUUUGAAGUUCCUUUCCAGAACCAGUCACAAAAGCCCAAACAAACAAGCGAAACACCACAACAGGUAGCAGCUGAGCUGUUGUUAAAGGAAGUAAAGAGGAAACAGAAGACAGAGGAGGCUACGAGAUUCUCAGCUAGGAAGUGAAAGUCAGUGACAGGUGUAAUACCUGCGCAUGAUUGGAGCUAUGGGAGCCCUGAAAUCGGCCUCCCAUAGCUCCAAUCUUACUUAUUUAUUUGAGAAGAAAUGGAGUUGCCCCAUGUCCCCAUAUUGAGCAUUCAACCCAGGGCCGGUUAACCACAUUCAGGCUCUACCCCACACUUGCCUACCGCAAAUGUUAGGGAAAUCUUCAAAUCCCUGUGACCACUGUCUCGGCCACAUUAAUCACACCUCAGCCUUAUAGGGACCUCCCUGGAAUAAACAAAAGCAAGAUGGCACUUGACCUGUGCCUUUCUAACACUCCCAAUCCAAUCGAGGAAAUGAGACUCACACAUCCUGUCCCUGUGUGCUUAAUGAAUGCUUCUGCAAGCGUGGCGUGUAUAGGCCAGAGUAGAUGCUGCUCAGAAGCCCUGAGAGAAAGGCAGUGACUGGGAAGAGAGAUGUAGGGACAGGGAGAAUACACUGGCUUCCUUCAGGGAGGCAGAAUGGCUGAUUGCAGGGGCAAAUAGGGGGAUCCCUAAAGGAAAAAAAGUGAAAGUAACAAGAUAAAGUCGUGGAAGCAGUGAGGUUCCCCCAGAGAGGUAGCCACUGGGGGCCAAAAUCUAAGCCCCCUAGAAGGCAUUCCUUUUUCUCCUUCCCUAGCUGUGCUCCCAACUCCUACCUUCCUGUAAUUUACCAUUUUCAGACCUUGAAGGCGGUUCAAGAAUGGCCCUGGAUUCUGCCUCACAGACAGUAGGAAACCGAGAAGUCUGUAUGAGGUAGCAACCAUAGCACCACACAUUGCAUGUGCAAGGUGCUCAAGCGACAGAGCCCCUCAGAGGCUCUGGAUGGGGUGUAGCCUGACUCCAAGAGAAGGAAAGAGAGUAAAGACCAUGUGCUGGAGGGCAAGCAGAAAUGCCUGCAUUUGAGUUCACCAGGGUGCCCAGAAGAGAGGACAGGGUGCUUACAUAGCAGGUGUGAAGUCCUGGGUUUGAUCCCUAGCAGAGGGACAGAAGGAGGUGGGGGAGAGGAAGAAGAAAGGAGAGGAGGAGGGAGGGAGAGGAUAUAUCUCACUGUCUUACUGGUGGAUGGGUCUCCAUAAACCAACAAAGAGCCUAUCACAGAAACCCAAGCUUCCUGAUACAAUUUGCCUAAUAAAUUAAUAGAAACUCUGCCUUCCCAGAGGCCCUCGGCCUCUACAGAGUACCUAACUAGUCCCACCAGGGCAGGCUCUUGGGCUUCCAGUAAGGAGGAAGGGACCAUACUUUACAUAUCUAGGGCCUCAUGAGCACCAACUAAGACAUGCUGAUUGGGUGAAUAUGUUAUUGGAGACGAGAGACAUUAUUAGACUUUUAAGAGAGAGAGAGAGGAGAAAAAAGAAAGAAAGGAAAAAGCGGGCUUUAGUGUGUUUCUUUGCUGGUUUGUUCUGAACAGCAUUUCAGCACUGUGAGACAGGCAGACCUCCUUGGCUACGAAGUCAUUGUCUCUAGAAACAAUAGUGGUAAAGUUGUUGGAGAUAGGAAGCCAGGGAAAACAGCUUUCUGGCCUUUGAGGGCACCUGCAUGAAUGUGUGCAUACACAUAAGUAAUGUUUUCAAAAAAAACAAAACGAUCUGAGAGUAGUGGUGUACACCUUCAAUCCCAGCACUGGAGAGGCAGAUGCAGGUGGAUCUCUGUGGGUUCAAGGUAAACCUGGUCUACAGAACCAGUUCCAGACCAGCCAGGGCUACACAGUGAGACAAACCCUUUCUCAAAGGGGGUGGGGUGUGUGUAAUCAAGCUGGGUGUAUUAGCCCAUCUUUUAAUUGCAACACAUGAGAGCUAGAAGCAGCAGAGCCAAGUUAAAGAUUAUCUUUAGUCAGGCGUGGUGGCGCACACCUUUAAUCCCAGCACUCCAGAGGCAGAGGCAGGGGGAUUUCUGAGUUCGAGGCCAGCCUGGUCUACAAAGUGAGUUCCAGGCCAGCUGGUGCUUCAUGAGACCUUUUCUGAAGAACACAAAAUGAGAUGAAGCUAUCUUUUCAUCCUCAUAAGUAAUGUUU
rnacentral:lncRNA from 1 species